rnacentral:rRNA from 1 species
AGAGUUUGAUCCUGGCUCAGGACGAACGCUGGCGGCGUGCUUAACACAUGCAAGUCGAACGGGAGUAUCGAAGAAGCUUGCUUUUAAGAUACUUUAGUGGCGGACGGGUGAGUAACGCGUGAGGAGCUGUCCUAUGCAGGGGGACAACAGUUGGAAACGACUGCUAAUACCCCAUAAGCCGAGAGGUAAAAGGAUUUAUCCGGCAAAGGAGGUACUCGCGUCCUAUCAGCUAGUAGGUGAGGUAACGGCUCACCUAGGCGAAGACGGGUAGCCGGCCUGAGAGGGCGAACGGCCACACUGGAACUGAGAUACGGUCCAGACUCCUACGGGAGGCAGCAGUGGGGAAUAUUGGACAAUGGGGGGAACCCUGAUCCAGCCAUGCCGCGUGUGUGAAGAAGGCCUUUUGGUUGUAAAGCACUUUAAGCGAGGAGGAGGAGCUCUAGACUAAUACUCUAGAUGCUUGGACGUUACUCGCAGAAUAAGCACCGGCUAACUCUGUGCCAGCAGCCGCGGUAAUA